UGGAAGUGGGGCUGUCUGGAGAGCGUGCCGUGUCUCACUCUGCAGCAAGCCGGGUUAUGCUGGAGCCCCCGUGGGCAGGCUGGAUGAUGGAGGGAGAGGCGGGAUCACAGGGACUCAUGGUGCUGCACAGCCGCGUAGUGAGAGGAGAAUCCCACCUCUGCCCACCUUCUUCUGGAGCAGCUGGCACUGGCCACUCUUGGAUGAGACACUGGAUUAGCUGGACCACAGCCAGCAAGUGGGGCAAUUUGCCCCAGGCCCUGCAGGGACCUCCAAGAGAGUUUUCGGCGGCAGGGGUCCUUCCACUCCAUGUCUUUGGCGAAGUGCUGCCGAAGACCCCAGGCCCCCUGAAUCCUCCGGGCGGCCCUGCCUCUCUACUCACCCACCCCCAGGCACGGCAGCAAGCCUGAGGCCUGGCCAAGCUGCCUCUCGGUUGGUCCCCUUGGAAACGGCUCUGAGACGUGCCCGUGAGCCGGGAAUCUGGGAGCGCAUUCAUCCCGCCGAGGCGGAAGCGCCGGGAAUGUUAAGCAGGUGCAGCCCAUUCAAUCUCCUUGUGAAAACCAGCAUCAAAGCAGACAGAGCCAGGCUUGUUUGCAGCGAGUGCUGUGUGACAGGAGCCCGCUGCGGGAGUUCAGAGCCCCAGCAGGGGUGAUGUGUCCUCGUUUGUGGCCCCAGGGCUCUCGGAGGAACCUGGCUGGCUCAGCGUCUCGGUUGAGCUAGAAUCGGGCUGAGCAUGGGGCUGAAGGUAUCCCCAAGAGAUGGCUUUUGGGGGCCAAUGUCCUUCACCUCUAGGGUUCCAUUCCCAUCAGAUUAUCCCCAAUACCCAUGAAUUCUCUGCUUCCCCAUGGGAAAUGCACCAGUGCAACAUGGGGCACCAAGGCUGACCAUGCCUGGCGUGGAUCAAAAACAUAGGGUCUCAGUCCUUGCUGAGAUCAGGAAAACAACGUUGUCCAAGCAGAAAGGAGGGGUUGGCAAUGGGAGCUGGUGCUUCCCACCUCCAGGAGCUGGGUUC